rnacentral:rRNA from 1 species
GCGUUGUUCGGUAUUACUGGGCGUAAAGCGCGCGUAGGCGGCUUUGUAAGUUAGAGGUUAAAGCCCGGGGCUCAACUCCGGAAUUGCCUUUAAGACUGCAUCGCUAGAAUUGUGGAGAGGUGAGGGGAAUUCCGAGUGUAGAGGUGAAAUGCGUAGAUAUUCGGAAGAACACCAGUGGCGAAGGCGACUCACUGGACACAUAUUGACGCUGAGGUGCGAAAGCGUG